AACGUAGGAGACAAACGUUAUCCGGAGUUCCUGGGCGUAAAGGGCGUGUAGGUGGUAUCGUAAGUCUGGCGUGAAAUUUCUCGGCUUAACCGAGGCAGGUCGUCGGAUACUGCGAGGCUAGAGGACGGUAGAGGCGUGUGGAAUUCCGGGUGUAGUGGUGAAAUGCGUAGAGAUCCGGAGGAACACCAGUGGCGAAGGCGACACGCUGGGCCGUACCUGACACUGAUGCGCGACAGCAUGGGGAGCAAACAGG
rnacentral:rRNA from 1 species